rnacentral:rRNA from 1 species
GACAGAGGGCUCAAGCGUUGUUCGGAUUCACUGGGCGUAAAGGGUGCGUAGGUGGCGGGGCAAGUCUGAUGUGAAAUCUCCGAGCUUAACUCGGAAACUGCAUCGGAUACUGCUUUGCUCGAGGGUUGGAGGGGGGACUGGAAUACUUGGUGUAGCAGUGAAAUGCGUAGAUAUCAAGUGGAACACCAGUGGCGAAGGCGAGUCCCUGGACAACUCCUGACACUGAGGCACGAAAGCUAGGGGAGCAAACAGG